GCAUGCCUACAACAUAGAAUUAAUGCACCAUAUCCCAUUAUAACUCCGUAGUUAAGUGCGCUCAGGCUAGAGUAGUACUAGGAUGGGUGACGCCCGAGAAGUCCUAGUGUUUUACAUGCA
rnacentral:rRNA from 1 species